GGAUCAUUAUUGAAAUAUUGUAAAGGAAAGUUGAGCUGGCUCUUCAAAGGGCAAGUGCUUGCUUUUCUUUCAAUCUUCAUCCACCUGUGCACUUUUUGUAGAGAGUCUUGAGAACGGGGGGGUCCCCUAAGUAUUGAGCUUUCUAUGUCUUUACAAACACUAAAUGUAUGUCUUUGAAUGUCUUUUAUAAGGGACUUGAAUGGCCCUUUUAAAAACUAUACAACUUUCAGCAACGGAUCUCUUGGCUCUCGCAUCGAUGAAGAACGCAGCGAAAUGCGAUAAGUAAUGUGAAUUGCAGAAUUCAGUGAAUCAUCGAAUCUUUGAACGCACCUUGCGCCUCUUGGUAUUCCGAGAGGCAUGCCUGUUUGAGUGUCAUUAAAUUCUCAACCUCCAAAGCUUUUGGUUCUGAAGGUUGGAAGUGGAAGCUUUGCCCGGCCUUUUCCGAAUCCGCUCCUYCUAAAUGAAUUAAUGGAAACUGGUUGUAAUCCGCCAUGGUGUGGAUAWUAUCAACGCUAAUGUGGUUACCAGSUYGUGKUAUGGUCGUUUGGGAAGCUUGCCUGAACCAUGCUUCUUCCGGUUUACCUGGCCUGCCCUGAAUUAUAUACUGGAAUCGGCUCCAAACCGUGCCUAAAGUAAAUUGGACAACACUUUGAUUAUUUUGGGCCUCAAAUCAGGGUAGGGACUACCCGCUGAAACUUAAAGCAUA
rnacentral:rRNA from 1 species